CGGGGUGAGUAACGCGUGGGUAACCUGCCUCAUACAGGGGGAUAACAGUUAGAAAUGACUGCUAAUACCGCAUAAGCGCACGGGGAUGCAUAUUCUUGUGUGAAAAACUCCGGUGGUAUGAGAUGGACCCGCGUCUGAUUAGCUAGUUGGUGAGGUAACGGCUCACCAAGGCGACGAUCAGUAGCCGACCUGAGAGGGUGACCGGCCACAUUGGGACUGAGACACGGCCCAAACUCCUACGGGAGGCAGCAG
rnacentral:rRNA from 1 species